GAUGAAGAACGUAGCAAAUGCGAUAAGUAAUGUGAAUUGCAGAAUUCAGUGAAUCAUCGAAUCUUUGAACGCACCUUGCGCUCCUUGGUAUUCCGAGGAGCAUGCCUGUUUGAGUGUCAUUAAAUUCUCAACCAUUAUCAACUUUUGCUGAUAAUGGCUUGGAUGUGGGGGUCUAUUUUGCUGGCUUCUCAGAUAGUCAGCUCCCCUUAAAUGCAUUAGCCGGUGCCCCGCGUGGACUGUCUAUUGGUGUGAUAAUUAUCUACGCUAUAGACAUCUGCAAUCAUAUGGGUUUGCGCUGCUUCUAACAGUCUGUUGAUUCAGACAAUACAUGACAAUUUGACCUCAAAUCAGGUAGGACUACCCGCUGAACUUAAGCAUAUCAAUAAGCGGAGGA
rnacentral:misc_RNA from 1 species